CAGUAGCCGCGGUAAUACGAAGGGUGCAAGCGUUAAUCGGAAUUACUGGGCGUAAAGCGUGCGUAGGCGGUUUGUUAAGUCUGCUGUGAAAUCCCCGGACUCAACCUGGGAAUGGCAGUGGAUACUGGCAAGCUAGAGUGUGUCAGAGGAUGGUGGAAUUCCCGGUGUAGCGGUGAAAUGCGUAGAGAUCGGGAGGAACAUCAGUGGCGAAGGCGGCCAUCUGGGACAACACUGACGCUGAGGCACGAAAGCGUGGGGAGCAAACAGGAUUAGAUACCCCCGUAGUCCCUGUCUCUUAUAC
rnacentral:rRNA from 1 species